GAAGUAAAGUCGUAACAAGGUUUCCGUAGGUGAACCUGCGGAAGGAUCAUUAUUGAAACUCCAUCCGGGGCGCCGCGGCCCUCAGCACCGGUGGAAACGCCGUGCUGCGGGGGCCGCGCGUGCACUCGUCCAAACCAAACCCCUGUGAACCUUACGGGAUGGCCCGGGUUAGCGCCCGGUGCCGUUCCGCUUUAUACAAACACUUAUCAAAGAAUGAACUGAAGGCGGUCUGACCGCUGGAUAACAAACUGAAACAACUUUCAACAACGGAUCUCUUGGCUCUC
rnacentral:misc_RNA from 1 species